UAAUACGAAGGGGGCUAGCGUUGUUCGGAAUUACUGGGCGUAAAGCGCACGUAGGCGGACUUUUAAGUCAGGUGUGAAAUCCCGGGGCUCAACCUCGGAACUGCAUUUGAAACUGGAAGUCUUGAGACCAGGAGAGGUUAGCGGAAUACCGAGUGUAGAGGUGAAAUUCGUAGAUAUUCGGUGGAACACCAGUGGCGAAGGCGGCUAACUGGACUGGUACUGACGCUGAGGUGCGAAAGUGUGGGGAGCAAACAGG
rnacentral:rRNA from 1 species